CUGCUUCAAGAUUCACUGAAGGUUGGUAUCGUGGGCCAUGUUCCUUCUGAUUUCAUACCUGCAAGCAGUUUACAGAGCAGCCCUGCCCCUACCGCACAUUCCCAGGCAAGAGCUGAGAGGACUACAAGUUGAAACUCAAUUUCAGGAGAAAUAUUACUGUGAUGCCUGCAUAAUGCUGUAUCAUUUCUUCAUGCCACUGUAUCUCAGUACUUAGAAACUUUAAAUCUGCAUCUCUUGAGGGGUAUUAAGAAGACUUUAUCCUGAAAUGCAAAAAAGGCACCCUACCGAAGUUCAAACAAUGCUGGGCGUACUGAGCAGAGGUCUGGCUUUUCGUUAAUGGAAGAUGAAAACCACUUUUACAACUGGAACAUAAAUGUGAGCACCUCAAAUUCCAGCCCAAAUUGCCAAGUGAUUGCAGAAAAUGCCUGUGGACUAUUCUUCAAGAGCAAAAGUCAUAGGAAAAUAGUAAAUGUGGAUUCCAAGCUAAAUGUGGAGAGUUUUUUCAAAAUUCUGAAUUGCCUUUAUGCAACAGAGCUUGACUGCUAAACUGUUGAGUCCAAUUGUAAGCAUUGUCUUUACCAGUACACACCUAACAUUUCAGGCUUACUCAGAUGUGCUAUUCCCCUUGUUCACACAGCUGUCAGGAUAAACUUAGCCUACCUUGUUUAUGACUGAGUGUGUCAAGGCCUUUCCCUUGUGGUGAGAAAAAUCAGAAGCUGAACUGACUGAUGAACCUGAAAGAUUUCCAAAGCAGGGUUUCACU